CCUACGGGAGGCAGCAGUAGGGAAUUUUCGGCAAUGGGGGGAACCCUGACCGAGCAACGCCGCGUGAACGAAGAAGUUCUUCGUAAUGUAAAGUUCUUUUAACAGGGAAGAAAGAGAAAUUUGACGUUACCUGACGAAUAAGCUCCGUCUACCUACGUGCCAGCAGCCGCGGUAAUACGUAGGGAGCGAGCGUUAUCGGGAAUUAUUGGGCGAAAAGGGUGCGUAGAUGGCAUAGUAAGUCUUUUGUAAAAAUGCUGGGCUCAACCCAGGAGGGCAAAAGAUACUGCAAAGCUAGAGUAUGAUAGAGGCAAGUGGAACUACAUGUGUAGCGGUAAAAUGCGUAAAUAUAUGUAAGAACACCAGUGGCGAAGGCGGCUUGCUGGGUCGAGACUGACAUUGAGGCACGAAAGCGUGGGGAGCAAACAGGAUUAGAUACCCCAGUAGUC
rnacentral:rRNA from 1 species